rnacentral:rRNA from 1 species
CCUACGGGUGGCAGCAGUGGGGAAUAUUGGGCAAUGGGCGCAAGCCUGACCCAGCAACGCCGCGUGAAGGAAGAAGGCUUUCGGGUUGUAAACUUCUUUUCUCAGGGACGAAGCAAGUGACGGUACCUGAGGAAUAAGCCACGGCUAACUACGUGCCAGCAGCCGCGGUAAUACGUAGGUGGCAAGCGUUAUCCGGAUUUACUGGGUGUAAAGGGCGUGUAGGCGGGGACGCAAGUCAGAUGUGAAAACCACGGGCUCAACCUGUGGCCUGCAUUUGAAACUGUGUUUCUUGAGAACUGGAGAGGCAGACGGAAUUCCUAGUGUAGCGGUGAAAUGCGUAGAUAUUAGGAGGAACACCAGUGGCGAAGGCGGUCUGCUGGACAGCAACUGACGCUGAGGCGCGAAAGCGUGGGGAGCAAACAGGAUUAGAUACCCGGGUAGUC